GAGUUUGAUCCUGGCUCAGGACGAACGCUGGCGGCGUGCCUAAUACAUGCAAGUUGAACGAUGAUUUCUGGUACUUGUAUCAGGAUGAAGAGUAGCGAACGGGUGAGUAACGCGUGGGUAACCUACCUCUUAGCGGGGGACAACUAUUGGAAACGAUAGCUAAUACCGUAUAACAAUAUUAAACACAUGUUUAAUAUUUGAAAGUACCAAUUGGUACACUAGGAGAUGGACCCGCGUUGUAUUAGCUAGUUGGUAGUGUAAUGGACUACCAAGGCGAUGAUACAUAGCCGACCUGAGAGGGUGAUCGGCCACAUUGGGACUGAGACACGGCCCAAACUCCUACGGGAGGCAGCAGUAGGGAAUCUUCGGCAAUGGACGAAAGUCUGACCGAGCAACGCCGCGUGAGUGAAGAAGGUUUUCGGAUCGUAAAACUCUGUUGUUAGAGAAGAACGUUGUGUAGAGUGGAAAAUUACACAAGUGACGGUAUCUAACCAGAAAGGGACGGCUAACUACGUGCCAGCAGCCGCGGUAAUACGUAGGUCCCGAGCGUUGUCCGGAUUUAUUGGGCGUAAAGCGAGCGCAGGUGGUUUAAUAAGUCUGAUGUAAAAGGCAGUGGCUCAACCAUUGUGUGCAUUGGAAACUGUUAGACUUGAGUGCAGUAGAGGAGAGUGGAGUUCCAUGUGUAGCGGUGAAAUGCGUAGAUAUAUGGAGGAACACCGGUGGCGAAAGCGGCUCUCUGGACUGUAACUGACACUGAGGCUCGAAAGCGUGGGUAGCAAACAGGACUAGAUACCCUGGUACUCCACGCCGUAAACGAUGAGUGCUAAGUGUUG
rnacentral:rRNA from 1 species